rnacentral:rRNA from 1 species
GACAGAGGGUGCAAACGUUGUUCGGAAUUACUGGGCGUAAAGCGAGUGUAGGCGGUCUGAAAAGUCGGGUGUGAAAGCCCCGGGCCCAACCCGGGAAGUGCACUCGAAACUGCCAGGCUAGAGUAUCGGAGAGGUUGGUGGAAUUCUCGGUGUAGAGGUGAAAUUCGUAGAUAUCGAGAGGAACACCGGUGGCGAAGGCGGCCAACUGGACGAAUACUGACGCUGAGACUCGAAAGCGUGGGGAGCAAACAGG